CUACAGUAAACUAUUGCUCUCGUGAGACGUCAACCAACGACCACGUUACCUAAGUUCGCAUGUCACAAAAUUUGGAUCUGAUGAACGCACGUCCCAAUGGAAAAAACUACAAUGGAAAAGCAUCCUAUGCAUCCAGUGUACUUGCCUAAGAGAAAAAGUUACCAGGCAGGACAAUUCAUUCGUUCAAGGCGACCUAUAUGCUGCUCCUUGAUCUGCGCGGUGAGGUAUGGGGGCUGUGCAGCUUUGUGAGCAAAAAGCCUUCAGCGCACGGAGGGCAAUAUAACGUGACGCAAGACUACUUUUUGGUUGAGUACCCAGUGAAUCAUCAAUUCAAUAAUUCCAAGUUGACUGUACAAACAUAACAGAAUUCAUAAACAUUUACCGGUCCGAAGCUUUGGUGAGGUGGCUAACUUGGAGCUUUCAUGUUCGUGAACUGCUGCUGUGCUGUGCUCCUGAUUGAGCUCUCACCUUAAGUAGCCUAGGGUCUAUACUUGGGUCUAGUGAUCUCUCGUGGACGUUUGGAGCCUUUCCAUACUGUAGAUGUCACAACCAACGCCUCGACCACGCAAAAUGGACCAUUCACACAGUUCAGUCACUCAGCCAUAUCCAGUGGACAUGAUGCUAUAAAGGUCCUGCACUACCACCUCCUACAACAUCCUGAUGAGAAGCAUUAACCCUAGCCCCAUGACUGAUACAUCAGAGGAAGUUGUCUUGCUGUUGGCACCAAUUCCAUCCUACUAAACUUUGUUCUCUCUUGUUCAACUGCCCAAUUGCCCAAUGUUUAAAUUUGCUUCAAAUAUGUUUUUUACUGAAGGGUGACAGAUGACACUUGUAUGGAGGGCUGUGGGUGUGGGGGAGAGAAUGGAUGUAGAUGGGUUUGGUUGAAGAAACUCCCUCUCCCCUACCUCCCUUCCUUCUCUUGAUAGGGAAUAAAAGUGAAUGUUAUUGCUGCAUUUUACCUGUGACCCCAAAUCAACUAUUUUAUGAGUCACAAGCUAAGACAAAAACACACAUAUAUAUAUAUAUAUAUAUAUAUAUUACUUUAUUUACACAUCUAUUCACUACUGGCCAAAUGCAGUCACCUAUCUCUUCAGACAGCAUUUCCAGUUUUUAGGACUGUUUAAAAAAUCUAAGGUAAACCACUUUAUAUUUGCCAUAAUAAUAAUAUUCGGGAAUCAAACCCACCCACCAGGCAUUACAAGCACCAUAAUCUACCAACUGAACAACAAUGGACCACUUUGGAUUAAGCUUAAAAAAUGUGAUAGACUGUAUUAUUAUGCUUAUGUGUUGGUACUGUAUGUACAAUGAGGAAUCGAAUAUUCUUCAAUCUGUCAUGGGUUGAAGUUACCACUAUUAACUAUUAAUCCUGUGCCAAGUCUCAUAUAUGGCUGAAUUGUAGUGUAUUUAAAGAAUAUGCCUUGUGUUGUACAAUUCUUAUACUCUAGAUGGCAGUAACGUGCUACCACCUUCAAAGAGGUCUGUAAGAGUUUUUCUAUUCGCCCUUCAAGUACUGAGCAAAUGUCCAAAUUAAUGAAUUCUCUGAAUUUGCAUUGCGAAUGUUGCUUUUAUUGAUACUAGAUAUGACUGGUUGUGAUCCAGUCCCAUAUGGAACAUGUGACAUGCAAAGUUCAAUUGGGUAAUGUCACACAUUUUUAGCAAAAAAAAAACGCUGUUU